rnacentral:misc_RNA from 1 species
UCGUUGUGCAAAUCGACC